rnacentral:rRNA from 1 species
GAUGAACGCUGGCGGCGUGCCUAAUACAUGCAAGUCGAGCGAACAGACGAGGAGCUUGCUCCUCUGACGUUAGCGGCGGACGGGUGAGUAACACGUGGAUAACCUACCUAUAAGACUGGGAUAACUUCGGGAAACCGGAGCUAAUACCGGAUAAUAUAUUGAACCGCAUGGUUCAAUAGUGAAAGACGGUUUUGCUGUCACUUAUAGAUGGAUCCGCGCCGCAUUAGCUAGUUGGUAAGGUAACGGCUUACCAAGGCAACGAUGCGUAGCCGACCUGAGAGGGUGAUCGGCAACACUGGAACUGAGACACGGUCCAGACUGCUACGGGAGGCAGCAGUAGGGAAGCUUCCGCAAUGGGCGAAAGCUUGACGGAGCAAAGCCGCGUGAGUGAUGAAGGUCUUCGGAUCGUAAAACUCUGUUAUUAGGGAAGAACAAAUGUGUAAGUAACUAUGCACGUCUUGACGGUACCUAAUCAGAAAGCCACGGCUAACUACGUG